UGCAGGAAUGUUAUGUCCUAGCAUUUUCAUUGCAUGUAAAAGUAAACUUUAAGAAUGAGUAUCAUAGUCUCUCACCUGAUCCUCUGCAGGGAUGUGACCGUAUUAGUCAGUAUGUGCCAGCAAUUUGAGAUCCUAUGUUUAGAUUCCUUUGUAAUGACAUCAUAAUUUCCUGGCUUCUUUUUCUGAUUUUUGUACGAAGCCAGUGUUCAAAUGUUGUAUUGACUGUAUUGUUUCCUUUUUGUUCUCAGAUGCCUGGUCCAUCCUUUCCAUUAAUUGGUUCUGUUGGUGCACAACCUGGGCCACAUAUAUCUUCUUCAAUGCAGCUUCAACAGAAACACCAAAUCCGUUUAGACGGUAACAUCAUCUAACUACAUGAAGCCUCUUACUUCUACUGGAGGGCAACCUUCACUCGUUUCCGCAAGUGAUGCACCUAGCAUUCAAAAGCCCCAGAGUUCAGCAAGUGUUUCUUCUGUGCUAUCUUCCUUUAUUGGUUUUACCCGUCCAUCUCGAGCAAUUACCUCAGCAAGAUUUGGCUGUGCUUUAAACAUUGAAGCCCUUGUUGCUGCUGCGGAGAGAAGAGAAACUCCCUUGGAGGCUCCAGCAUCAGAGAUUCAGGACAAGAUAUCAUUUAUCAUUAAUAAUCUAUCUUCUACAAAUUUUGAAGCUAAGGCCAAGGAAUUUUCUGAAAUUUUGACUGAGCAGUACUAUUCAUGGUUUGCACAGUACAUGGUAAUGAAAAGGUGCCUAUAGGGUUGGAGCUUAUAAAAUCAAGUUCAGAAGAGCGUUCCUUGCCUAAAGAACCUAGGAAGUUGGCUUGGGAAGAUCCCAAUUGGCAGAAAUCAAGUGUUGAGGGCACGUGAGAUUGAUCCAAAUCGUUGAUCAUAGAGGCAUAUGAAAAGGGUUUGAUGAUUGCUGUAAUCCCAUUCACAUCCAAGGUUUCUUUCUUCAACAGAUCUUGUCCUUGAAAGCCCUCCACCGCUGCCGCCAACAACCACCAGCUUACGCCACCUCCGGCGCCAAAAGCCAGUGUCGCCACCGCCAACCACCAAGUACUGCCACUGUUUGGAAUUUGAGUUUAGGUUUGGGUUUGAAUCAACAUUAAAUUUUGGUGAUUUGAUGUUGGAUUUGAGUAGAACUCAAAUUUGAGUUGAGUUUGAGUUUGAGUAAGGACUAGAACACCAAAAAGAGUGUUUUCACUCAAAAAAAUUCUGGUUUUGAGUUUAAUACGAAGGAAAAAAGGAAUAUUGAAAAGGUGUAAAUAAAGCACUAGGCUUAAUCUCUCAAUUGGGUCCGGAAAAACUUGAACAUUGUAUGAAGCUCAAUGAGUAGAUGUAAGCUUUUAUCUGUAUCAAAUAUGUGGCUUUAUUUUGUUGGGGAAAAGCCUGUAUAGUUAGGUGGUUUACUAUUGUGCUUUUUUUCUUUUUAUAUUUUAUUUCAAAGCAAUGAUGAAACGAGAUGGUGGC